CCGGCUCCCGGUAUCGGCCGCCCCCAUCUCCUUCCCUGAUCCUGGCUCGCCCCGCCCCCACCUUCUCCCUCACUCCCGGCGCCUCCCGACCCCCAUCUUCUCCCUCACUCCCGGCGCCGCCCCGCCCCCACCUCCUCCCUCACUCGCGGCGCCGCCCGACCCCCAACCUCCCUGGAUCCGCGUGCGUCCACGCCGGCUUCGUAGCGGCGCUUGAUGUGGAGCGCGCCGGAGUAGAGGAGCGGGCCUUCUUCCUCACCUCACAGCGCUGUCCUCCUCCACGACCACGCAGCCGCAGCGGCGGAGGACCCGAAUCCCUAGCCAGCAAGCUCAGGCAGCCAUGGAUCCAUGGGGCGACGCCAUGGAAGGGCCACCAACACCAGCAGCUAUGGACAUGCAGGCUGCUGCCCUCCCUGAUGCAUCAUGCGCGCAGGCCACAAGGAGGGAAGAACACUGCUCUGCUACUUCCUGGGUCGCCAUGGAAGGGUAAAGAGGUCAACCUCUUCCAAUACACAAUUGCUGAGGUGUUCAAAAAUCUUAGUGAGAGAGGACAUUGACGGUGCGAGAAUGGAACACAACAAGUUUUGUGUGUGUGUGUGUGUGCAUUACCGAAACGUCGCACGACAUGGUGAAAGUUAUGGAAUUUUUGCUGUAACCGCCUGGACGAAGAUGACAGGGCUAACCGGCUAACAAAGAUGCAUUCAAGGUAAGCCAUGCCUCUGGUAUGCUUGCUUAACAUGUGAAAUCCAUAAGACAAUUCUUUCGAGUUGCGACCUGCAUUGUGGUGUCUCUGUUCAUCAAGUUCUGAGCACCAGCUCCAGUGAAAUUAGGUGUUCAUCCUGCCAUACUCCUAGGUGGCUUUCUUUGGCCUGUUUCUUAUUGUGUAUUUAGUGGUUAUGCACAAGCCUCAUCAUCUGAUAUUUCUGCAGUAAUUACUGAAAACAAUUUGAGGACAAAGCUUUGAUUGUUGUUGUAGUUGAAGGUUCAGAGUUGCAAGGCAGGCACAGUUAACAAGGAUAAGAAAUUGUAGAAGAUUUAUCAAAUCAGACAUGGGCUUGGUUAUGCACUGAAUCAUUGUGGGGGAUCUGAGGUAAUCAGACCAUGCACCCAAACUUAAAUUUUACUUGCUUUUAAAUGUUUAGGAGGCAGAUGAUGUUUGAUAUGCUAGACUAAAGUACGCACCUUUUAAGAGUAUAUCACUGAUACUCCAGUCACCAAUAAAUUCGAAAGUGCGUACUGCCUAGAUUAUUGGAGCUCAUUUUAGCUCUAAGAGUUCUUUUUUAUCUCUUUCACAUUCUGGUAAACAUGUGGGUGAAUAACAGUUAGAAAUUGUUCUAUAUGUACACGGGAAUUCUAAUAGAACUCAUGCUUGAAAUGAUAAAAAGUUCUAUAAUAUUUGUUAGCCGAGCGCUGGAAAAGCUCACUCCUCACACCAGAUCACCAUCGCCGACGUAUAUACUUUUUCGUAACAGAGUCCACAUGUUUACUCAUGUUCUCAGUUUUUUGUUGUUUCGGGGAAGGUUGUUAGGAGCCCAUCUCUUCUGCAGCCCUGGAGAAAGAGAGCUAGAUAUAGUGGUACUUGCUAGCGUUUUAAUGGACACCUCCUUUUGGCCUUUUUUAAUUUCUCUAAUAAUUAGCUAAGAGACUUCAGUGAGUGAGAUUUUUUUGGCCCCUCCCUUUUUCUGUGUCUUUUGGAGUUUUGCUUUGUGGUGAAAGGAGGAUAGAGAUACUCAACAGGGGCCGCCCUCUUCCUCGUCCGAACAAGAUCCCCAAGAGCCUGUACCCACUUGAGAAGAGCUCGAUGAGCUGCACGGCCUCACACAUGAGGAGCAGGAGGCCCAGGGAGGAGGAGUCAUUUGUUUACAGUAGGAAGAUUGGCUUAUGACCUGGUGCAUACCUGCAUGGUAUUUUCAGUAGAGAUGAUUCAAAAUCAAAUCAGCUGUUUGUUAACGUGGUGUUGCCUGCUGCGGUUUUACUAUAUUGUGAAUUUCUGAUUGUGUGCAAAGGGGACACAUGUUCAACUAAUUAGAUCAGUUUGUUAACUAGAACGUGUUAUUGGGAAUAAGCACAGAUCAAUUGUCAGCACAAGAAAUGUGGAAUGCAUUAGAAGUCAUUGCUGUUAUUGUUAUAAUGUUUAAUCUUAAAAAAGUAUACCUACUCUCUCACAUGGUUACUGAUACGCAAUUUUUGUUUGCCUCUUCUCGUGCUGCAGGAUGGAACUGGAACCAAACUUGGUAGUUGAAAUAAUUCUCUGUCUUAAUUCAAGGAGGACCCUAUAUCUAAAGGUAACAGAGCAGUUUAUAUCAUAAUUCCAUUGCUGGAUUUCUAGAAGAAUGAAAAAGGGAGAAAUGGUUGUUUCAUUUGGUGUGCGGAUCUGGUUUAAAGUGUGCGUGCUUAUAUCUGGAAGAUCUUGGUUGCAAAAGUAUAUCAGGAAGAUCUUGGUUGCAAAAGUGAUCAGAUAUACUCCUCUGUACCAAAAUAUAAGACGUUUUUUUCAGUUCAAUUGAAUUGCAAAAAUGUUUUGUAUUUUCGUACGGAGGGAGUAAUAGUCAACACGGCCUCAUUGGUUCUGUAAUUAAAUGCCUAUGAUCUUGUAAUUCUGAAUCAAAUAGUUUGAUUACACAAAGAAUGAUAUUUACUUUGUGUAAGAUCUUGUAAUUCUGAACCAAGUUAAUUCUGAAUCAAAUAUUUUUUCUACUA